GAAGGGAUGGCUCAGUGGUGGGGGCAUUCGACUGCUGAUCGAGUGGUCCCCGGUUCAAAUCCGGGGGUCUUCUUCUUCA